UACGAAGGGUGCGAGCGUUGUUCGGAAUUAUUGGGCGUAAAGCGCACGUAGGCUGCCUUGUAAGUCUCACUGUGAAAGCCCGGGGCUCAACCCCGGGAGGCCAGGGGAUACUGCAAGGCUGGAGACAAGCAGAGGUUGGUAGAAUUCCGGGUGUAGCGGUGGAAUGCGUAGAGAUCCGGAGGAAUACCAGAGGCGAAGGCGGCCAACUGGGCUUGUUCUGACGCUGAGGUGCGAAAGCGUGGGGAGCAAACAGG
rnacentral:rRNA from 1 species